CCUACGGGAGGCAGCAGUGGGGAAUAUUGCACAAUGGGGGAAACCCUGAUGCAGCGACGCCGCGUGAGUGAAGAAGUAAUUCGUUAUGUAAAGCUCUAUCAGCAGGGACGAAAAUGAUGGUACCUCAUUACGAAGCCCCGGCUACCUACGUCCCAGCAGCCGCGGUAAUACGUCGGGGUCAAGCCUUAUCCGGAUUUACUGGGUGUAAGGGGAGCGUAGACGGCAGUGCAAGUCUGGAGUGAAAGGCGGGGGCUCAACCCCCAGACUGCUCUGGAAACUGUACGGCUGGAGUGCAGGAGAGGGAAGUGGAAUUCCUAGUGUAGAGGUGAAAUGCGUAGAUAUUAGGAGGAACACCAGUGGCGAAGGCGGCUUACUGGACUGUAACUGACGUUGAGGCUCGAAAGCGUGGGGAGCAAACAGGAUUAGAUACCCGAGUAGUC
rnacentral:rRNA from 1 species